GGAUUGUGGCUCAGUGGUAGAGUGUUCACCUUGCAUGCGUGAGGCACUGGGUUUGAUCCUCAGCACCA
rnacentral:tRNA from 1 species